rnacentral:rRNA from 1 species
CCUACGGGAGGCAGCAGUGAGGAAUAUUGGUCAAUGGGCGGGAGCCUGAACCAGCCAAGUCGCGUGAGGGACGACGGUCCUAUGGAUUGUAAACCUCUUUUGUCGGGGAACAAAGGCGCCCACGGGUGGGCGGAUGAGUGUACCCGAAGAAAAAGCAUCGGCUAACUCCGUGCCAGCAGCCGCGGUAAUACGGGGGAUGCGAGCGUUAUCCGGAUUUAUUGGGUUAAAAGGGUGCGAAGGCGGAUUUUUAAGUCAGCGGUAAAAUGUCCGGGCUCAACCCGGGGCUGCCGCUGAUACUGUAGGACUAGAGAUCGGAUGCAGCAGGCGGAAUGUGUAGUGUAGCGGUGAAAUGCAUAGAUAUUACACAGAACACCGAUUGCGAAGGCAGCUUGCUAGGCCGGAUCUGACACUGAUGCACGAAAGCGUGGGGAUCGAACAGGAUUAGAUACCCUGGUAGUC